AUUGAACGCUGGCGGCAGGCCUAACACAUGCAAGUCGAGCGAGCGGCGGACGGGUGAGUAAUGUAUGGGGACUGCCCGAUAGAGGGGGAUAACUACUGGAAACGAUGGCUAAUACCGCAUACUAUCGGAUAACCCAUAUGGGAUUAGCUAGUAGGUGGGGUAAAGGCUCACCUAGGCGACGAUCUCUAGCUGGUCUGAGAGGAUGAUCAGCCAAACUGGGACUGAGAAAACGCCCAGACUCCGACGGAGGCAGCAGUGGGGAAUAUUGCCCAAAGGGCGCAAGCCGUAUGGAGCCAAUCCGCGUGUAUGAAGAAGGCCUUAGGGUUGUAAAGUACUUUCAGCUGGGAGGCGUUACACGCAGGAGAAGCACCUGCUAACUCCGGGCCAGCAGCCGCGGUAAUAC
rnacentral:rRNA from 1 species